AUUGAACGCUGGCGGCAUGCCUUACACAUGCAAGUCGAACGGCAGCACGGGGCAACCUGGUGGCGAGUGGCGAACGGGUGAGUAAUGCAUCGGAACGUACCUUUCAGUGGGGGAUAACGUAGCGAAAGUUACGCUAAUACCGCAUAUUCUGUGAGCAGGAAAGCAGGGGAUCGCAAGACCUUGCGCUGAUUGAGCGGCCGAUGUCAGAUUAGCUAGUUGGUGAGAUAAAGGCUCACCAAGGCGACGACCUGUAGCGGGUCUGAGAGGAUGAUCCGCCACACUGGAACUGAGACACGGUCCAGACUCCUACGGGAGGCAGCAGUGGGGAAUUUUGGACAAUGGGGGCAACCCUGAUCCAGCCAUGCCGCGUGAGUGAAGAAGGCCUUCGGGUUGUAAAGCUCUUUCGGCCGGGAAGAAAUCGCACGGGCUAAUACCCUGUGUGGAUGACGGUACCGGAAUAAGAAGCACCGGCUAACUACGUGCCAGCAGCCGCGGUAA
rnacentral:rRNA from 1 species